GUUCAUCGGCUUAUGAACAGUGACGGCUCCAGCCGAGCCGGCGAUGGAUGAAAAGUCGAUUUUGCCCCUGCGUGCUGUUUCUUGCUUCGACACCUGGACUGUUGCUCCGUGCGUGUUGUUUCUUCCUCCGACACCUGGGGUGCUGGUCAGUGCUAUCGUGUCUUUGCUACUUCACUCCACAGGUAGAUAGUGAAGGAAGUGGUGCUGAGAAUUGCGCAACCGAGCUUAGCUUUGGAGAAAUUAGCAUGUUGUCAUCGAGCUUAGCUUUGGAGAAAUUAGCAAAGAUGGGUUAAAUUUGAGGGCGAUUAUCAGUAACUUUGUUGUUUUCAGUUGUCGUUAUUGCUCGAUCGAGAGAGAGAGAAGAGCAGAGAUGUUUUCAUUCUUCUGAAGUCUACUAAAUUCGGGUCCGGCGCCGACAAUACUUCCAAUUCUGAGUUGUGCUUUUUUGCUGGACUUGCACAGGGAGAGAACAAGGAGGUCACACAUUUGAGAGGGAGAUUUGAAUAAGCAGAUGAAGAACUCAGUGAUGGUCUUGAACGACCCAUAGGCUUUAGGAUUCGAUGGCUGCUUGAAGGACGCAGAUUGGGAAGUUGGCUGUGGUCCGUAGCGCAUUGUGCAGAUGCCCCUA